ensembl:lncRNA
AAUAUUCCUGCAUAUUUCUAACAUGACGCUCAGAAAACUGCUUCAGCAGAUCUCAGAAGAACGCUUCCUCUACAGCCUGGUCCACGUUACUGUAAGUCUUAGAUUGUGGGUUUACGAUCAAUAAUUCAGUAUUCAGUCAGCAUAAUUCAGUAUUCAGUCAGUAUAAUCAGUAUUCAGUCAGUCUAAUUCAGUAUUCAGUCAGUAUAAUCAGUAUUCAGUCAGUAUAAUUCAGUAUUCAGUCAGUAUAAUCGGUAUUCAGUCAGUAUAAUCAGUAUUCAGUCAGUAUAAUCGGUAUUCAGUCAGUAUAAUCGGUAUUCAGUCAGUAU